UACGUAGGGUGCAAGCGUUACUCGGAAUUACUGGGCGUAAAGCGUGCGCAGGCGGUUUUGCAAGACAGAUGUGAAAGCCCCGGGCUCAACCUGGGAAUUGCAUUUGAAACUGCAUAGCUAGGGUGCGGAAGAGGGAAGCGGAAUUUCCGGUGUAGCGGUGAAAUGCGUAGAUAUCGGAAGGAACACCAGUGGCGAAAGCGGCUUCCUGGUCCAGCACCGACGUUCAGGCACGAAAGCGUGGGGAGCAAACAGG
rnacentral:rRNA from 1 species